GCGCCGGGGAGGCAGAGUAUCAAUGGCUCAGUCUCCUGGCCGGUCAGAGGUCAGGGGUCGCCCAGUGUUUUGGGCAGGGUGCACAUGUAGGAGGAGUAGGAGACAGAUGAUCGCUGUCAGGGAAUGAAUUAUGAGGCUGCAUAAAAGAAGAGUUGGGAUUCAUAUUUUUUUUGUUCACCCAGAAGGAUUUUGACCAAGAAGAACAGGGAUCUGCCCUGCGUUGCCCUGGCAUGUAUUCACCAGAUGUCCUGCUGUGAAGGGGACGUAUUGGAAGUGUGCAUGCUCUCCCUCCCAGGAGUGCGUGUGGAAAACAAGGAGCGGCCCAUGAACAGCAGGACGUUCCAUACAGUGGGAUGGCAGUCAGUCGGAAUCACAGAUAUAAGCACAUUAUAGUCUGCAACUUUGGAGGGACAUCCCUCCAUACUCCAUUAACGCAUCCCUACUCAUAGCAGCUCUCUCGGCCAGAUGGGCGCGCCGUUGCACACUUUCCUCGCGGCGCAGACCUACUUCAUUACUGGUAGACUGUGUCAUUACAAACCCUUGCUUCAUGGAUAACUGGAGGAUUCUCCCGUUUCAGGGCCGCUAGCCAACGGUGAAGAACCACUUGCCACUUAAAAGGUAAAGUUUGAAAGUGGACAAUCUUUCUUUGGUUUUUCACUCUGUAAGAUUCAUCGCUGCAUCCAGGGGCAAUACAAAAUUGAACCCCAUUGCUUCACUUUUUAGUUUGGGGUGCCUUAUUUCCCAUUGAGUCAGCUGAUGAACUACUUUAGGACUCAAGCCAACCCGCCUCGUGACGUUACAUGCUAUGAUAGGAUAAGAUGGCGCUACACUUCUCACUUCUACUUAUUGCUUUUAAUCCAGUUUUACUGACAGUGUUAAACCUUUUAGCAGUUUGAGAGUGGGGAAUUAUCUUGUGAAUGAUGCUUGCUUCAUCUAGUGUUUCAUUCCAGCUUAAAGACAUAGAUACAUUGAAAUGCAUUUAAAGCGGGUCAAUGGCAACCGCUCAACAACACAUCGCACAGAUAAUAUACAUGUAGUAUGCAUCGCAUUCCCAAGCAAAAGCGACAGCAGAACCAGAGUUCCCUGGAUUCGGGCCAGUUGGUUUGGUCCAUGCCUGGCUUGUUGUCUUCAAGGUCAACUGCCUUAUGAAGAUUGAUGCUCAUGUAAUGUGGAAGCUCUAGCUGCCACACCGUGUGUGUGUGUGUGUGUGUGUGUGUGUGUGUGUGUGUGUGU
ensembl:lncRNA